ensembl:lncRNA
GCUUGUUUUUGACAUUGAUCUUGAACUUGAAUGAGUCUGAUUCUGUGCACCAUAGCACACCCAAUGCUCUUUCCGUUGGUAGCACAUCAUGAGAUAAGUCCAAGUCUCUGACAUCCUUGGCUCUCUCACAGUCAGGAACAGAGGCAAGUAAGGCCCGGCUGUUACUUGUCCAUUUUGUCAGGUGGAAUCCUCCACUUGCACAUAGUGCUGUGAGAUCUUUGCACAGUUCGACUGCUUGAGCUCCAUCUGCCACUGAUUUCAAACAGUCGUCUACAUAAAAGUUCUUCAGAACUGUGUCCACAGCAUCAGGUGACGACUUGCUACGGUUCUCCUCUGCUGUUCUUCGGAGUGCGUAAUUUGCACAACUUGGAGAGGAAGUCGCACCGAAAAGGUGAACAGCCAUCUUGUAUUCAUCAAUGUUCUGGCUUAGGUCUCCUGCUGGCCACCAUAGGAAGCGCAGUAGGUCUGUGUCAUCUUCAGGAACUCUCACUUGAUAAUACAUCGCUUCUACAUCAGCAAUCAUAGCGACUGGUUCUUGCCUGAAGCGAGACAACACUCCAACAAGCGAGUUGGUCAAAUCCGGUCCUUGUAGAAGCUCACUGUUAAGUGAGACUCCUUGAUAGCUGGCCGCACAGUCAAACACUACGCGGAGCUUCUUCUUUUGUGGAUGGUAUACCCCAUGGUGGGGAGUAUACCACACUUUACCAUCCUGGCGGUUCAGCUUUGUCUCCGGCACUUCAGUGGCAUAUCCUUUGUUCAACAUGUCAUUCAUGAAUGUAACGUAUUCUUCAUGGAACGUAGGAUUCUUCACCAGUUUGUUCUUGAGGUUAAGUGCACGCUGCAUAACAGCACUUCUGUUGUUUGGCAUUUGAACAUUCAACUUCUUCAUGGGAAGAUUUAAGUAGUAAUGUCCAUCCUUAAGAUGAGCAGACAUAUUCACAGACUCCAUGAAACAGUGAUCCUCUUGUGACAUUUCAGAUUUGUCAUCGCAGUUGUGUUCAGGGAAGUCGUGAUUAUAUUGUUGGAUGAGCAACUCUUCCACACUGUCAAUGGCAAUUCUGUUCACAGCAGCAGAUGGUUGUGUGCUGUCAUUCACUCUGGUGUCUGCCUCUCUGAGUGGUCCAUUCAAAAUCCAUCCAAGUGCUGUCUUAACAGCAUAUGGUCCAUUGUCCUUGCUUGGAAUCACUUUCCAUGGCUCCAAGAUGCUAUAUUCUUUGGUUCCAAUGAGAAGUUCCACAUCUGCAUCAAUGUGAGGCAGUCUUACUUCACUGAGGUAUGACCAUUUCUCAACCUCCUUCUGUAGUGGUACAUUCUCUCUGGAUACAGGAAUCCUUUUCUGAGUGAAGACUUUCGAUAGAGCAAUGAAGUUGUUGUCUUCUAUACCGCUAACUUCCAAAUCAGUGAGAAUAUAGCUCUCUACUCGCCUUCUAGCAUUGAUGGUGUUCAACAUAAGCUCAGUUCGUCUUCCUUGAACAUUCAGUUGCCUUGCUAGAGCUUCAGUACAGAAUGACGCGGAGCUGCCUGGGUCCAUGAAUGCGUAGACUUCCACAGCUUCAUCACUCCUUUUGGACUUAAUUCUAACCGGCACAAUGGCAAGCACACAACUGUCUCCAGCCCCAGUACAGGCACUUGACUCUUGAUAGACACCUGCUGGUGCACUGUCUGUACUGCUUUUACUGACCUCAGUUUCACUUGGCUUCCCCUUUGCACUUUUCUCCUGGCUUGAGAAAUGCAGCAUACUGGGAUGCUUCAGAGAACACAUCUCACAUGACAUCUUCUUUUUACAUUCCCUGCUCAGGUGGCCUUUGAGUAAGCAACCAAAGCAGAGCCCAUUUUUCUUCAAGAAUGUCACUCUGUCUUUGUGUGGCUUCUCUCUAAUUUUAUGACAUUCUUGCAGUGUGUGAUUCCUUUCACAAAAUAUGCAUGGUUUUGUAAAGGCACAUUUGAAUGACA